AUUGAACGCUGGCGGCAUGCCUUACACAUGCAAGUCGAACGGUAACAGGGACUUCGGUCCGCUGACGAGUGGCGAACGGGUGAGUAAUAUGUAGGAAUAUACCUAUAGGUGGGGGAUAACUACUCGAAAGAGUAGCUAAUACCGCAUAAUAUCUACGGAUUAAAGCAGGGGAUCGUAAGACCUUGUGCCAAUAGAAUAGCCUACAUCCGAUUAGCUAGUUGGUAGAGUAAAAGCCUACCAAGGCAACGAUCGGUAACUGGUCUGAGAGGAUGAUCAGUCCCGCUGGAACUGAGACACGGUCCAGACUCCUACGGGAGGCAGCAGUGGGGAAUUUUGGACAAUGGGCGCAAGCCUGAUCCAGCCAUGCCGCGUGAGUGAAGAAGGCCUUCGGGUUGUAAAGCUCUUUCAGCCGGAAAGAAAUCAUGCUUACUAAUACUAAGUGUGGAUGACGGUACCGGAAGAAGAAGCACCGGCUAACUACGUGCCAGCCGCCGCGGUAAAAC
rnacentral:rRNA from 1 species